CAAGAGAGGCGGUGAUGGGCCUACGGUGAGGAACGUAUGCACCGCCAGGUUCGGGGUGGGGUGGCGAGCCGGUAAACGGCCGGUGGUGCGCAGACGGCGAGGGACCUGAGCUGAGGAGAGCAGAGCCAACCCCCCUCUUUCUCUCUCUCUCGUCUCUUCUGUCCCUCCCCCCUUCUCCGGCAGACGCUUAAACUCCUAAAAGGAGAGGGAGAGAGAGAAAACAAGCAUCGGCAGACCUAUACGAUGGCGACCGUGGGCCCUCUGUCGUGCUUAGCCCGCGCCAGCGGCGAUGGACUCGACCUCCUCCUACAAACUAACGUUGCCCCUUAGGGUUGUCGUCCAUCCCCUACCUUAGACCCGACUUGAGUCCCUCUUACUUCUGGUAUAUUGUGGAACGGGGUUCCUAUGCUUCCUAUCAUCUAGUUAGACACAAGCUCUGGUCUUCUUCUUACUACUACUUCGUCGAUCACAACACCCGGAAUGACUUACAUGAAGUCCCCCAGUUUGACUUGUAGGACCAAACCUUUUCGUCCGACGGUGACUCCGAUCACCUGUAAUAAGUCGACGUGUUGAACUGUAUCUUAGGACCGGACUGGACGGAGAGGGCUCGUGACGUAAACUAUCUUUGAUGUUACUGAUAUUAUAUCGUAGUUGUAUAAACCUAAAGUUAAGACGUAGAUCAAAUGUUUUUCAAUGGUCUUCGCACAGUCCAAACAAAGUAAUAAAUUGUAAAGAUGUAAGUUUGUACGGUGUGUACAUCCUUUUUUUUUCCAUUUCUGUGUUAUGAAAGUUUCGUUUAAUAUAUAGAAAGCAAUCGGGUAUAUGUCACGUCGACCUACCACUUAGACUUCACAAACCGUUACUCUUACUUCUUUUCUCGUUGUUGGAAGAGCUGACACUGACCCCGUUAUAACCUCUAAAACUACUAAAACUGAUGAACAAAUCGUUGUGACUUCGGAAUAAACCUUUACUCUACUAACAAUUACCGUCAUUAAAGGAACAAUGCUCAAGUCUACACCAACAGCCAUGACAUGUUAGUUAGGGGAAAGGCACAUAUGGUAAUUUAUUCGUUGGUAGAAGACUAACACCUAGAAGAAGCCAAGACUAAUUAACAUGAGGGUCAUUUUAUCGGUUUGUUCUUUAGUUCCCUCUACAUUUCUUCUCUGUUAACUUUAGUGUUUCUUUUGGUCUACUGCCUUCGUUUUCAUUUUGUAGGUUGUUAUGUUCACCAAAGAGGGUCUUGGUUCCUGUGGUCGUUGGUCUGUCAAACGUAAGUAAUAGGCUUGGAGGACAGGUCGUAAAAGUCUGAGCAGUUAUACGUGACGAGGUGCUAUCGUUCUUAUACCUCGUUAAAGUUCUACGAUAAGUCGAACGUAAGGGACCGAUACCUAUAGGACGUAUAGGUACAGGAUGGUAAGGCCGCCACAGUUUAUAAGUCCGACUUCCGGUAGUCUGUUUGGGUUUCCGACGUACAAUGGUUUGAAGUCAUCUAGGAGACUUCGUUAGUUCAAGGUGUCUUUUCGGUGUUCUAUACGGUAGUUCCCGUGACUACUACUGUGGGGUCCUUUUCUAACUUUUCGAAUCCGCGGCUGUUGUUGUUGUACGGGACUCUCGAUAAGUUGUUGUCGUCGUCGUUAAAACAGUUCUCCCAAGCCCGUCCCUGUGAAACCAUGGAGCUCGUAUGAGGGCUUCCUUGUUCUUGAGUCUAAGUAAUCCCUCAAGUCCAUAGUAUCUGCUUUUACGUGAUCUCGUCUGAAGUCGAACAGCAUUUCUCUAAGUAUUCUUAAGACCUUAAGGACUACUAGGGAAAUAUCUCCUUUUUUAUAUAAUACUCGAAUUUCUACGGGAACCCUUCGACCUACGGUCCUGAGCUGAGACGUAAACUCUGUCAGACGAAGCUAACCGAGUAUCAAGGAGUGUCUCUGUUUAACGACCACUGUCUUGAUCGUCAUUGUUCUGAUUUUCUCUACUUCUACUUCAAAGUCUUUUACUGCGUAGGUUGUCCUCUUUUUCUAGAGACCACUUCCUUCGUCUUUGUCUGUGGUUAGGUCAGCUAGCUUAACAUCGGGUAAACGACAAAGUAUCUGGUACAAGCUGCCAACGUUGUGAACGUUUCCUUCUUUAGCGUAGGAGCUGAGACUACAGUGAACUUCGACUAAGGUUCUACGGACCCCGGUGCGGACCCGCUGGUAGUCCUCUAGUUGUCUGACGCGUCCUUUACCGUUAAGUCGGAAGUCACAUUGCCUACACACAAGUCUCAAAUGAGUUUACUAUCAUUUUAUCCUUAAGACAUAAACGUAAAACUAUGCGGGCAAAGGGGACCUACCAACCAGAAAGAGGUCUCUCAUGCGUCUACCUCUGGUUGCACUGUAGGCUUACCAUGGGAUGAAAAUAUCUAUCGCCGGCGUCGCAGGGCGUCCAGAAACAUGACAUAAAAUAUUUCAAUUUAUGUGAUGUCCACGGAAUUGAACGGGCCGCGCCGGUCAAACCACAGAUUUGAACUUUUUAUGUGUUUUCACCACUGCAUUGAACAGAUCCGCAAGUUUAUGCCACGGAGAUCUGCAUACGGCGGCAUAGUUCACGGGCACCCCGUACAGUCGCACAGAGACCCGGUGUAUAGUCACCGACGCCCGCACAACACUCGGCACGCACAUCAAAAAAAAAUGUCUUUACAGGG
rnacentral:rRNA from 1 species